CGUCUCGGCUCGGCUUUGCGGUCCACUCACUCCAGCCAAUCGUGCGGCAGCACAAAUCACGCAUGUCCCCGUUGACCUCAUGAAUCCGCAAAUGCCUGUUGGCUACUUCGUUCGCCGCUGGACGCGCCGCCGUAGACGAUUCCAUCCUGGCCACAUCCGCAACUUUCCCCAAGGCUAGCCAUCCACGGCGGUGCAGCUGAUGUUGCGGGGGCAGCCCGACAACACCCCGGCAACAGCUAUUUCCCUCUCGCGACGGUAGCACGAUUCCAAACCGGCGAUCUCAUCGCCGGCUGUUGAUGGCGUUAGAUCCUAAGUGCACCCCACCGAUUAGGCUGUCAAGUGGUCUGAUCCAUUUUUCUUCGCAGCAGGAUACACUCCAAUCCUCCACCGGCUAGGCAGUGGCAUCCUAGCUCAGUUCAUCUCCUUGGUCAGCUGGUGCCACCGGUGAGCAAGGCCGUCGCGGCUGCCGCAGUCUCAGUGCUUUUGUGAUCCGACCGUCCCAUUCAGGUCAGUGGGGCACAGGCUCCCAAUGUGAGCAGCCGCAAAAUUUCCCGUAGUCAUUAAAUCUUAAGCCGAUUCCCUUUGAUUAGGAGCCAAUUUCCCUUUGAAUUAUGAUUAUUGCUUCACCAUAAAUCCAUUCUUCUAGAACUUCUCCGUUGUUCUGUUUAGUCACGAGGAAUUGGGAAUUAUUAUAGUAGCCAUAUCAUCUGGAUUUAGAUUUUACACCAGGUUACAUAGUUUUGUUUGAUUCUAUAAAUUAUAGAUACUAGCAGUGGCAUGUUCUAUUGUGUUCAUUGUUUAAUCGUGUUAUUUUUAAUUGCCCGACACUAAAUUUUCUGAGUGAUAUCGAAACUUAGAUUGCUCUUACAGUAAAUUCUUAUAUUCGUAUUACAAAGUUCUUGUAAUCUUUUGUUUCCUGUAAAUAAUAUAUAGAAAGUGGUGAUAAUGUUUUUUCAUUCAGAUUUGAGACUAUAAUAGUAAAUACAUCAUUUUCUUUACUGGAUAUGCAUUCAUUUUCUGGAGACGGACACCUCAUCCGUGGCUCACUUGGAUCUGAUUCCCUUUGUUCAUCUUAUGGUGAAUCGGCAUCGUGGCUGCAAUUUUUCUUGGCUGUUAACCAUCCAGGCCGGCGGAGACCAAUAGCCUGAUGAGAUGAGCAGCCGUAAAAAUCCACGUUAUGAACUCUGCUUUGAUUUGACUCCCUUUGGAUUAGCGGCCGAUUCCCUCUAGAUUAGCAACCUAUUCCCCUUGGAUCAGAUUUAUCCUUUCAUUUACAUCCAAUUUUUAAGUGCUCUUCUGUUAUUUCUAUAUAUAUUCCUACAAGAUUAGCCCCAAAUUGCCCCACUGCCUGCGGCAGACGUGCAUGCAACCACAAGGUUUGCCCAAUCCAUGUUUUUCUUGCUGCAUGCAGUUCGAUUGUUUGAAACAAGCAUGCCCAAUUAUCGCAUUGGUGAGCUGUCUUCCCCUCAUAGUGAUAUCUUCUAUUCUGUUACUACCUUUCUUGCAUAUUGAAAUCGAUUUAUUCUUCCAGAUCUACUGUUCAAAGGAGCUUAUUCUCGUUAAGGGAGAAAAAGAUACCAAGUUGUUGUUCAAUAUUUUUUUUAAAAAAUGGAGAACCCAUUAUCUCAACUUUUAGCUUAUUUAGGCCAUGAGAUUAAUCAGUUGCUAAUUUCUUUUACUACUAUUUUGCUGGUUUUAAUGUAAACUCUGGAUUAGUGCAUCCGGUAGACAAACAAAGCUUAUGAGUUAUGACUUAUAAGGAUCACUAUGUUAUUCGCAACCUAGAGCUCCCUUUCUUAUAGCCAUAUAUGUUAUUACCGUCUUUGCUCCGUCCUAUAUGUUAUUAUUUAUGUACGUUUGUUGUAUUUUUCAUUCACUACAAAUCCAGAAAAAGGGCCCAUCAGAUUAGGUCAGAGCUCCUCUUCUACGCGCCUUACAACCCACUAAACACCGAUCAAGAAGCUUCCGGCUAGACUUGAGGCGCACAGGACAAGAUCUUGAUCGUCGUGAGGUUCAAAAUACAUGGAGACCUAGUGUCUUAUCUCAUACUCCUAUAUUUUGUUUGUGUUUCAUUCUUUGGGAAAAGAUGGAUUGAUAUACAUGUCUUGCGAUACAACUAAUCGAUGUGCAUAGCGUACCAUAAUUUGUGUUA